UUCAUUCCUGCAGCAGCUCAUGCUGAACCCUGGCUGGAUUAGCAGAAGGUGAAAUGUGCCACAGGAGAUUGCUGCUGGGUUCAGGGCAGGAUGGCAGCGGAAGAGAAACGAGGUAGUGGUGUCCCCCAGGAUUUAUUUCCAGCCAAAGAACAGCUAUAAAAAGCAUCCUUGAUCCUGGAAGCAGGGUGCAAAAAGCAAAAUCUGCUGUUUGGGUGAGUGUCAUGGCUAAAUACAGUGAUUAAAACAUAUAGCCUGGCAUUUUUCGGAGACGGUGCAGGCUGGGAAGAGCUGCUGCUGUGGUAAACAGAGACUCAGGAUCAGCUGGAUCCUUUGUCAGUGCUGCAUUCACUGAAAAUUCAAAAUACUGUGGGUUUAGUUUGGAUUUAAAAUCAUCAAAUCCUCCUCAAAUACAGUUGUAGAUAUUUUUGCCUCUGCAGCUGGCUGGCUGUGUUACAUUUUUCCUUUGCAGAGAGGCUGACAACAUUGGUUAAACCAAGAGAAAAUUAACUCUACCCCAGGGGAAACCAGGACACCCCAAAGCGCUUCCAGAGCAGAUGGAGACUGAUCUGUGGCACCACUCCCAGAUCCAAUUCUGCCUCACAGUUCCAGAAUCUGGCCAGCUGCCUGAAAUGGCAGCACUUUCCAGGGCAGGUCCAGGCAGCGCUCGGAAUGCAGGAAUUGCAGCACAGGAGCUCUGGGGAAGCACAGCCCAGGCAGCUGCUGCUCCCUGGGCAGGUUUUGUGCAGAGACUGAGGCUCAUCCAUGGAACAAACACCUCCAACCUCUGCUGACAUCCCUGUGCAGGUGAGUGCUGCAUUCCCUCACUCAGCUCAGAUUUCUGAAGGUGUCCAGCCCAUCUAAACCCCUUUUUUUUGGCAGAAUAAUCUGAAUUUUGCCUGCUGGCUCCACAGACUCUCAGUCUGCCAAGCCCACCCUGCUCCUGCUCGGUGUUCCUGUAAAUCCUCAGCAUCCCUGCAGCCGAAUCGCUCAGCCUGGGAUUUCUGCUGGGAACCCAUCGGGCUGCUGGCUCCAGAAAUGUGCU
rnacentral:lncRNA from 1 species